GUUCGGGUCAGGGUAAGAAACAAUCCCAAUUCAACCCAUCCCAGCCUAUUGUAUCCCGGCAGGCUAGGGUCAGGGUAAGAAACAAUCCCAAUUCAACCCAUCCCAGCCGAUUGUAUCCAGGCAGGCUAGGGUCAGGGUAAGAAACAAUCCCAAUUCAACCCAUCCCAGCCUAUUGUAUCCAGGCAGGCUAGGGUCAGGGUAAGAAAACAUGUAACGUAUUUCACUGUUGUGACGUUAACUUUGCUCGGGUGAUUAAUUGUAAUCCCUUUGUUGUUUUUUCU
rnacentral:lncRNA from 1 species